UACGGGGGGGGCAAGCGUUGUUCGGAAUUACUGGGCGUAAAGGGCUCGUAGGCGGCCAACUAAGUCGGAUGUGAAAUCCCCAGGCUUAACCUGGAACUGCAUCCGAUACUGGAUGGCUUGAAUCCGGGAGAGGGAUGCAGAAUUCCAGGUGUAGCGGUGAAAUGCGUAGAUAUCUGGAGGAAUACCGGUGGCGAAGGCGGCAUCCUGGACCGGCAUUGACGCUGAUGAGCGAAAGCUAGGGGAGCAAACGGGG
rnacentral:rRNA from 1 species